UACGGGGGGGGGCAAGCGUUGUUCGGAAUUACUGGGCGUAAAGGGCUCGUAGGCGGCCAACUAAGUCAGACGUGAAAUCCCUCGGCUUAACCGGGGAACUGCGUCUGAUACUGGAUGGCUUGAGGUUGGGAGAGGGAUGCGGAAUUCCAGGUGUAGCGGUGAAAUGCGUAGAUAUCUGGAGGAACACCGGUGGCGAAGGCGGCAUCCUGGACCAAUUCUGACGCUGAGGAGCGAAAGCCAGGGAGCAAAGCGGG
rnacentral:rRNA from 1 species